rnacentral:SRP_RNA from 1 species
CCACACAGCCGGGGAGGUAGCGGCGCCCUGAACCUGCAAUCCGCUAUAGCAGGGGUGAUAUUGAACAGAGGCUUGGCUUUGUGAAGCAGCCUUGGGGCAAUGGUGUUGAGAGUUUGGUCCUACGCAAUGGAAAUCUGUGAAUCGUGUCAGAUCUUGACGGAAGCAGCACUAAGCAGAAACUUUCAUGUGCCGUGGGGUAGCCGGAUUUGAGCCGUUAAUCCAAGAAGCGUUCGGAAAGGCAUUGUCGACGGGAUAUGUGUGG